UGGAGUCACAAGAGUUAGUGAAAGGGCAGCAAAAAAAAGGAAUGUAUUUUCUCUCAUCUUCCUCCCUUGUCUGACUGAACUCCCUAGAGAUGUGUAUACCAUGAAAUGAACUACAUCAGCCUCCACCUUCUCAAUUCCAGUUGCUGCUCCUAUAUUUUUGCUGCAUGGCCACCAAAAAUAACAAGGUAUUUGGAAAAAUAUGCACGAUUCAUGACAAUCUCCUCUUUAAGUUUACAUAUUCUUGAGGAUUCCUUUUGUCCAGUUCCAGGAAAGUCCAGCAGUCAUUCUUACUGCUUGCUCCAGCAUGAAGUAGGGAAAGGGGCUGAUUGCAGCCUUCCAGGAGGAGCCAGAAGGUCCUCUCCUCAUUCUCCUUCAACACCUGGCAUUGUGCCCCCCUCCACAAACAUUUCUCUAGGAAUGUCUUAAAACCACUCUGCUUUCAAACCUGGCCUGGGAUGAAAAGGAUAUAAUUCUGAAGUUCUGACUCUUGUAAAAUGCUUCAUAAUGCUUCUGAGGCCAUAAGCUGUAGCUGUGAUCACACUGAAAUACUUGUGUACCAGUCACCAAGGUAAGAAGGACAACAGUGUUCAAAGAAAGACCACGACUGAUACAAAAAAAAUGUGAACUCUAUAAAUUCUAGUGAGGAGAUUUAUUUAAAAAAAAAAUGGCAUCAAUCCCCAUACUUGGAAGUAAAAGGCCACUUCUAAUUAGAAAGUUUAGGAUGAAAUUCCUGCGAUGGUAGGGAAUCACACUUCUGAGGCAUCUGAUAACAGAUAAUGUUAGAGACAGAGAUGAUAAAUUAACUGUAUCUCAGAGCAGACUGAGGAUAGAUAUCCUUUGUUCCCAGUUUCAAAACAAAGGAGAUGUCCACCAGCAGAAAGCAUGGAAGAUUUAUUGUAUGAGAUCAAGGGCUUACUUUGCCUGGUGCUGCUUCAGCCAGAGGCCAACAGGAAAGUCUUUAAGAAAGGAAGGAUGCAGCCUUUUUCUUGUAAGUGCUAGGAUGUUCAGAGGGAAAUAGUCACCCUUGCUAGGCAUAGGCAUCUAAUUUACACUUCCAAGUUUGGAGGAAUUCUCCCCAUGAUUCUGGAGCCCCAAGAGAGGCCUCCUCUGCUCAUGGGUACCAGGUUGUACCUAAGUACAGCAGUGUUCUUACCAUGAGAUCAUAGAAUCACAGAAACAUUUGCAUUGGAAGGACCCUUAACAGUCACCUCGUCCAACUCCCCUGCAGUGAACAGGGACACCUGCAGCUAGAUCAGGUUGGUCAGAGACCCAUCCAGCCUGACCUUGAAUGUCUUGAAGGCGUGGGGCAUCCACCAACUCUCUGGGCAAUGUUUACCUCACACUCAAAGUUUUGAUAUACUCCCUUAGGGAUAUUUAUAUGACAACACCCUGACUCUGACAUGAAACCCCUGGGCACCAUCAUACACAGAAAAUACCAUGGAUCUCUGCUAAAA
rnacentral:lncRNA from 1 species